ACUGCAAUAUAUAUAUAAAAAAAAAACGCAUAAGAAGCAGUAUUAGCUUGCACAAACACUAGAGAUAUAUACAUUUUCAGUACCUGACUUAAAAGAUCCAAAACAAAACAAAACAAAAUUACCAGUCACGAGUAAAGACAAACUAAAGCACAAUUAAAAGUUAAAAAAACUAGAAAAAGACAAUAAAAUAUCGAGUUGAAGUUGCAAGGCGAAGAUCCAGUGUUUGUGCAUUUUCAGUACCUUAAAUACAUUUUAAGUAUGCGGCCAAGAGUUCCAGAUAGGCAAGGAGAAGAUCCAGUCAUGACUAAAGACAAACUGAAGCACAAUGAAAAGUCAAGAAACUAUAAAAAAGACAAAAAAAUUCCGAGUUGAAGUUGCAAGAGAAUCCUGAUCGAAAUCUAAAAAGUGAGGCUAUUGCUUCGCAUCUAACAUGUGGGCUGUUUGAGCUAAUUAGCAUAGGACCAUUACUAUACAAUUUAAAACGUGUAGGAUUGGAUCUCAUGUGGGCUUUCUUUGAUUCAGGAACAGGAUAAGAGACUGAAUGGGAGUUCGGUCACGAAAUGCCUUAUUCUAUUGAUUUUGGAUGUAAACAUUAAGUAGUCAGGUGUGCAGGAUAUUAGCCUACUUACAGUAAGAGAAACUGAUGGACCACAAAAAACUACGUUUCUUCUUGUUUGGUUUAUUCUAUGACCCCGCAGGGACAACUGGCUUCAGAGGAUGGGAAGUGACAGCUUGCUAUCUGACUCUGAGUUUUUAUAUGGUUAUAUGGAGAUAAGGAGAUAAAGAUAUCCAUCAUUAAGGCACAAAUAAAUACCCGACUCUGACAUAACAGAUGCUAUUACACUUACAUGGUAGCUGCCCAUGCCGUUCAGGUAAAUAAAUACAGUGAUGUUGUAUAUGUAUGUCUUUUUUUUUUAAAUGUUUUCUUGUUUUCUAGAUUUUCUUCCUUUGGGGCAUGGCUCUCGUUCAACAGCAAAGCUGUAAUUUUGGAUAGACUCGAAUUUUCUUGUGAUAAUUGACCAUUAUAGAUGGUAUUAGGCUUAGAUUUAUCUGGGACAUCAUACGUAAUAGAUUGGUGAUCUAGUCUUUUUACUGGGAUGGAAAUAGUGAUGGUUUGGCAAUGGGCAUUCAAUUCAAUGGUCGGCUUCCAAAUCUUUGAAUAUCUUUGCAUAGUUGAAUCUAGCAUCUGUGGCUCCCUUUUUUAUGGUUUUUUUUUUUUUUUUUCUUUUCUUUUCUCUCUUUGAGCACAUUAUAGCUCUUGAUUCCUCCACUUGAGAUGAUGCUAUCCAAGAUAUGGACUAAAUUUAUCGCCAAAAAGUGUGUAGCUGCUUGUAACGCGAGGUAUAUUCUCAGCUUGAGAGAUAAUAUCUUGGCAGAUAUGCUGACCUUUUGGAAGUGGAAUUGUGUUAUCUUGUCUUUGUUUCCACGCCAGAGUCUAGAAAAUACUUUCUUGGCUAAAGUUUGCUAGUACAGAGUGUACAGAAAAUUGAAAAAUCCUCUUUUCUAUAACCACUUGUUAUAUGCUUUAUAAAGUUGCAUUAAACUUAAGUUGA